GUUUGACCUCAAAUCAGGUAGGAAUACCCGCUGAACUUAAGCAUAUCAAUAAGCGGAGGAAAAGAAACCAACAGGGAUUGCCUUAGUAACGGCGAGUGAAGCGGCAAAAGCUCAAAUUUGAAAUCUGGCGUCUCCGGCGUCCGAGUUGUAAUUUGAAGAAAGCUACCUUGGGGCUGGAGUUGUCUAAGUUCCUUGACAGGACGUCACAGAGGGUGAGAAUCCCGUGAGAUAGCUUCCAGUUC
rnacentral:rRNA from 1 species